CUGUGAACACAAGAUGACCUUGCGCUGAAAACUCACUUGCAGGGGAAAAACAAAACCUUUUUUUCUUUUUCUUUAGUAAGUUAAUUAAUUAAACGUAGUUAGAACCUCCCUCAAAGUCCCGAGUACUUUGCAAGAAACAUGUCGUCCUUAAAUACUGGGUAAGUCUGUUAAACAGUGAAAUAGCAUUUUUACACUGUAUUUCAUGUUGUCACAGUUAUAAUGUGCAGUAUAACAAACUAUUUAUAAGUGUUGUGCAAACUGUUCAUUAAAAGCCAGUGAUCUAGCGAGCUAUAGAACAUUUAU